AGUGAACGCUGGCGGUAGGCCUAACACAUGCAAGUCGAACGGCAGCACAGUAAGAGCUUGCUCUUACGGGUGGCGAGUGGCGGACGGGUGAGGAAUACAUCGGAAUCUACUUUUUCGUGGGGGAUAACGUAGGGAAACUUACGCUAAUACCGCAUACGACCUACGGGUGAAAGCAGGGGAUCUUCGGACCUUGCGCGAUUGAAUGAGCCGAUGUCGGAUUAGCUAGUUGGCGGGGUAAAGGCCCACCAAGGCGACGAUCCGUAGCAGGUCUGAGAGGAUGAUCAGCCACACUGGAACUGAGACACGGUCCAGACUCCUACGGGAGGCAGCAGUGGGGAAUAUUGGACAAUGGGCGCAAGCCUGAUCCAGCCAUACUGCGUGGGUGAAGAAGGCCUUCGGGUUGUAAAGCCCUUUUGUUGGGAAAGAAAAGCAGCAGGUUAAUACCCCGCUGUUCUGACGGUACCCAAAGAAUAAGCACCGGCUAACUUCGUG
rnacentral:rRNA from 1 species